rnacentral:misc_RNA from 1 species
UAUAGAUAUAGGGAUAGAGG